UACGUAGGGGGCGAGCGUUGUCCGGAAUUACUGGGCGUAAAGGGUGCGUAGGUGGCUAUUUAAGUUGGAUGUGAAAUCCCCGGGCUCAACCUGGGUGGUGCAUUCAAAACUGGAUGGCUAGAGUGCAGGAGAGGGAAGCGGAAUUCCUAGUGUAGCGGUGAAAUGCGUAGAUAUUAGGAGGAACACCAGUGGCGAAGGCGGCUUUCUGGACUGUAACUGACACUGAGGCACGAAAGCGUGGGGAGCAAACAGGAUUAGAUACCCUGGUAGUCCACGCUGUAAACGAUGAAUACUAGGUGUAGGGGGUAUGAACUCCCCCUGUGCCGCAGCUAACGCAAUAAGUAUUCCGCCUGGGGAGUACGGCCGCAAGGUUGAA
rnacentral:rRNA from 1 species